rnacentral:rRNA from 1 species
UACGUAGGGUGCGAGCGUUUGUCCGGAAUUAUUGGGCGUAAAGGGCUCGUAGGCGGUUUGUCGCGUCGGGAGUGAAAUCCACUGGCUUAACUGGUGGCUUGCUUUCGAUACGGGCAGACUGGAGGUAUGCAGGGAGAACGGAAUUCCUGGUGUAGCGGUGAAAUGCGCAGAUAUCAGGAGGAACACCGGUGGCGAAGGCGGUUCUCUGGGCGAUGUCCUGACGCUGAGGAGCGAAAAGUGUGG